GAAUGGGUUUUACUCGCAGAGGAAGAUUUAAUUCCACACAGACCCACAGUGGAACAACCAACAAGGAAAAGAGUCAGGGAAGAAAAAUGGGAAAUGAAGACAGACAGAUAUUUCACGGUUCAUUAACAGUGCCAGUGUACCCGGCAACUUCAACCAAAAUGCAUCACUAAUGGCACAGCUGAUCAAACAUGAGCAAAAAUUCCUUUCAUUCAAUGGCAUGCGAAAAACUUCCUGACUGUUCUCACAUUCAAGAUUCUAUCAGCUAACUAAACGCUUUCUACGGUUUCUAACCCCAAAUAUGAACAAACGAAUUCCUUCAGUUCAUUCACAUUCAUUUAUCCUGGUCAGGAUGGCAGCGUAUCCGGAGUCCAUCCCAGGAACACUGUGGGUGAGGCGGGAAUACACCUGGGACACCAAACACUCAUUCACAUCGAGGGGCAAUAUAGCGUAGAUGGUAGAUGUUUUGAGGAGGUGGAAGGAAACAUGAGCUCAGGAGCGAACCGGGAACCCUGGAGUUGUGAAGCAGCGAAGCUCCAAUAUAUUACUGCAUGUGAGAGUUAAACAGGUCCAGGGACAUGAUGGAGAACCAAGUAUGUAUGUUUCUCAUGGGUUGAGGAUUUUAAGCCACACAUCUGACCUGAAAUGAAAAUCUUCCACAUUUAAGCAGUGAAGAAGGUGCUUGCGUAUGAAGUUGGAACACAAAGCUGGAAUUUUUAGCCGUAGGAACUGGAAAACUGGACGUAAAUCAUUACACAUUCUCAGAACUUUGCAGGAGUUACUUUUUCUAAAUUUCACAUCUGGUCAGGUAUCAGAGAACAGGUUUGUGGAUAUGAAGAGCUGCAAAGUUCAUCUAAAAUCCACCAGGAGGAGGAAGGAGGAUGGAGGAAGGAUAACUCACAGGACGGCUACAUAUACGCUAGCGGUGAUUGAGAAACAUAAAUGAAACAUGCUAACAGACAGAAAAAAGCUCCUUAUUUCCCCGAAGCUCACUUUUUAAAGGAUUUUUCUGAGCCUGUUUUCUGCUGAUUGAUGACAUAAACAGAAUGUAGUCAGUUUCUAUAAUGGCAGGACUCUCGUUAGGGGAUCUUCAUCAUAUAAUCUGACACGGACGUCACACUCUUUCAUAGUCUGGGAUAGUACAGUCUGAUGAGUAAUGAUCUUAUAAACUCGGCUUAAAACCGAGAGACACAACUUAAUGUAGUAAAAUGAUCUAUUUCUUCCAAACGCAGAGCAUCCAGACAGGAGGAAACAUGUCACUGGGAGAUGUUUAGCUGUAGAAAAGGGAAAACCCUUGUCUGCUUUUCCCACACAUUAACAUUAGGCGUUUUUUUCCCACGACAGCAGCUGAUCGAUUUACCGUCGAUCGUGAGACAGCCUCGUCCCUGGCGCAUGAGUCAGAGCCAGUAAAAAUCCGCGGCGUCUCUGCAUCCUCUGCUGCGAGCCCGCGGUCGGAUCUGUCGUGCAGGAUCUGUGGUCGGAGCAGACCGCCGCCACUUCCUCACGCUCCUGCUCCUGCUCCUGUUCCCGCCCGUGGAUUCCUGCGCUGCAGAUUCCAGGCCUGGCGCUUCCUCCAGCUCAAAUCUGGCUGAGUUUACGAGGAAAAUCCCCAGUUUAUAAUAUAACAGGACGAGGACACAGAGAGACAGAGAGACUGACAUAGAGAGAGAGAGAGAGGGAGAGAGACGAGCCGGUGUAACUGAUCCUUACAUAAACACACAUUAAAAAUGUGUGGGGAAAAAAACGGAGACGGAACGACCCAAAGACAGGCCGCGGAUUAAGUGGAACAAGCAAACAAACAGCGAAAUGAAAGUAUAGGCUUGCACACGCUGUCCACUAGUGUUUUCUCUCCAGGACCUGCGCCAGACCAAAGCCUGCGCUCAUGCCGUAGUAAACCGCUCUCCAACCACACGCUGGAAUUUCUUCUACUUCUCCUUCUUCUGCAUUUCCGAUCGACUGGGUGAACUCACGGUAGCAAGAUUUACAAGAAGCUGCAGGGUGGAAACAUCUGAAGAAGAAGAAGAAGAAGAAGAAGAAGAAGGGAGGAUGAGGCAGAAGAAGCAGGAAGCUCUCAGGCUUUAGUCUCACAGCAUGUUAUUCCAACAUCGAGUGUAAAGGAGGUGUUUUGACCUCAUGGUCAUCAGCCUGAGUUCUGGACUGUGAUUGGUCAGAAGGUGUUGGUUUAUGCUCCAUGACAGCAGCUCUGAUACAUUUGUGGAAGGAGUGUCCAGUUAAAUGUGACUAUAAAAAUACAAAAAAAAAAUUGUAAUCAUUGGCAAUGCAGUGGUAUAAGAGGAAUAAAACACUUGGUGCAUGCUGUUAUAGGAAAAUAAAUAAUAAAUCAGAUUAGUAUAGGUCACAUGA